rnacentral:rRNA from 1 species
AAGUCGAACGGAGCUUAGAGAGCUUGCUUUUUAAGCUUAGUGGCGAACGGGUGAGUAACGCGUGAGUAACCUGCCCUAGAGUGGGGGACAACAGUUGGAAACGACUGCUAAUACCGCAUAAGCCCACGGUACCGCAUGAUACUGAGGGAAAAGGAUUUAUUCGCUUUAGGAUGGACUCGCGUCCAAUUAGCUAGUUGGUGAGGUAACGGCCUACCAAGGCGACGAUCAGUAGCCGGCCUGAGAGGGUGAACGGCCACAUUGGGACUGAGACACGGCCCAAACUCC